AGUGGUGCUGUGAAGAGAACAAUUGUCAGAGUGAAUGUUGAACAUCAGCUAGUUUCUCCUGUUGAUUGAAACCUUGUUGUACAGAUGGAACAUUGGCUGUGGAUUCUUCUUGCUGCUCUUUUCUUUGAGUGUAAAGGAGAAGACAAAGUGAUCCAACCAGGAGGAGAAGUCAUUGCUGCUGAAGGAGACUCUGUCACACUCAACUGUACCUUUGAGACCAGUUAUUCACAAAAAUAUUUGUUCUGGUACAAACAAGAAGUGAACAGUUACCCAAAGUACAUGUUGAAACGUGGCACCUAUGAAACAGAAGACAACGCUCCAGAGUUCAAGAAAGACAGAUUUAAUGCUGAACUUGACAUCAAGAUCAAAUCCGUUCCUCUGACGAUCCAGAAGGUUCAUGUGUCAGACUCUGCUGUGUACUACUGUGCUCUGCAGCCCACAGUGACAGGAAACAACAAAACUCUGUACUAAAACCUGCAGAGCAGAGACAAGACAAUACUCUAGAACAGUGGUCCCCAACCUUUUUGGGGCUGUGGACCGGUCAGCCAGUGUGGAAUUAUUCCGCGGCCCGGGGGGGGGGGGAUUAAAAACGUUAAUCCACUGUGUUAUCAUGUACAACUUUAUUAGCUGGGUCCUCAUGACGUCACAACAGCAGCUGAACAUAACAUGACCAACAUCGUUUCUACCCCAACACAAUGCAAACUUUCUAAAGAAGUUUGUUUUUUGCUCAUUUUGCUAUCUUGAGAUUAAAUUUAACGGGAUGUAUCAUGUGACGUGUUGUGGCCUUGACGUGCGUCAAGUGAAGAUGUAAAUGAGAAAAUCC